UACGUAGGGACCGAGCGUUGUCCGGAAUCAUUGGGCGUAAAGAGCGUGUAGGCGGCUUGCUAAGUCUUGCGUGAAAUCUCGGGGCUCAACCCCGAGCGGUCGUGGGAAACUGGCAGGCUAGAGUGCGGGAGAGGAGAAUGGAAUUCCUGGUGUAGCGGUGAAAUGCGUAGAUAUCCGGAGGAACACCGGUGGCGAAGGCGGCUUCCUGGACCGACACUGACGCUGAGGCGCGAAAGCUAGGGGAGCAAACGGG
rnacentral:rRNA from 1 species